GCAGGGUAAUAUAAAAUCUCUGUCUCUUUAUACUUUCAGGGAAAUCUGACAGACACAUGAUGCUUUGAGUGAGUUUGUGUGUACAUAUUUUUUCUUUGGAGUAAAGCAUGGAAAAAGAGCUGAGUCCCACAUCUGGGACUGCUUAGAGCAGAGAGAAGAGACCAGCCUCAGGAGGUGAGAUGUGAAAAAGAUCAAAGCUCUAGCAAGAGUUGGAGCAGAGCCAAAGAGACUACUAAGAGUAUUAACUGCUGGUAAUUUGCUGAGAUUCUGGGAAGACCAUUGGAUUUCUUCUUGGGAUGGGAGGAUCCAGGCAGCUUUUAAAAGAAUGCACAAUGACAGAUGCAGCUGACAUCUGAUUGUUGUAGUGCUGUAUAGUUCAGAAUGUUUAACAGUGGUUCUCCAAAAUCUUGCUCUGUGAAUGUUCCAGCUAUCAUAUUAUAUUCCUCUUUCUGCCCAGUGAAAGCUGUUUUCCGUUCAGACUUCAAAAGGGAAGCAAAAAAAAAAAAAACAUGUCCACACGGAGGACUUUGUCAUAUUUCUCCUUCCCUGUGAGUUAUGCAGAACCUGAGGAUGCUGGUUAAAGAGCCAAUGAGCUAUACCCUUCCCAGCCAUGCAAUUGCCGAGUAGGGUCUAUCAUUUAGGGGUAAAGAAAAAUUGGGAAAAAUCUUCUGUAAAAUCUUGGAACUUUAAAACUGUUCUGAGCAAGGACCUAAAUAAAUAGUAAGACUUCUGUUAGUAUCUUUUUUUUUUUUUUUUUUAAAGAGAGAGAGAAUUUUUUAAUAUUUAUUUUUUAGUUCUCGGUGGAUACAACAUCUUUAUUUUAUUUUUAUGUGGUGCUGAGGAUCGAACCCAGCACCCUACACAUGCCAGGCGAGCGCGCUACCACUUGAGCCACCUCCCCAGCCCUUCAGUUAGUAUCUUAAAGUAAGAAGUCAUGGUCUCUGAGCAGUGUGAAUCUAGUCAGUGCCACACUGAACUUAGUAUUUUUGCGCAUGCCUUAGCGGGGAAGACCUGGCUGAUGGAAGAACCUAUUGUAUGGUCUCAACACCCACUUUGAGAACAAUAGAGGUCAGUGAGCUUUGACUAUUCGCCAUUCUCCUUUCUUAAAUAAGAGCAUUUUUAUUUUCUUUAGGGGACCACUUCCUUUCCUAUUUUCAGAAGUGGUUCCAGUGGAGUAAGUUCAUCUCUUGGAGGACACAUAGUCAUGUGCCAGUCAGAGAAUAGUACUUGGCAGGCAGGGGCAUAGACCCACAUCCAGGCCAAUCAGGUCUCUCAGGGUUUUUGUUAGAACUAUUAAGAAGUGCACUCUUAUUUUCCUUUCCAGCUCGGUUGCCCUGACCCUACAGAAUGUAAGUCCCAUGCUGCUGGAGACCAUCUUGCCACCCUAAGGAGAAUACUGCCUAAGAAUGAAGGCAACACAGAUGACAGCUGAGCUGUGAGAUAGAGAAAACUGGAGAUCAGAUGGUGUCUUGAGUACCUGGAUGUAACCACGUGUUAAACUGGUGGAAUCCUGGACGCUUAUUUUGCGUGGACCUAGACUUUCCCUUUUUUUACCCCUUAUAGAAGUUUGAUUUGAAUCGUCACCUGCUGCCAGAAGUGUCUUAAUUAAUCCAUGUCAUAAAUGGUAUAUCAUUCUCUUACAGAGAAUAUGGUAUGGUUCACCUUUUUUUGGUGGGGGAUGCGGGGUACCAGGGAUUGAACUCUAGGGCAUUCACUCACUGAGUCAUAUCCCCAACCCUAUUUUUUGUGUUUUAUUUAGAGACAGGGUCUCACUGAGUUGCUUAGCAGCUCUCUGUUGCUGAGGCUGGCUUUGAACUCAUCAUCCACCUGUCUCAGCCUCCCGAGCUGCCGGGAUUACAGGUGUGUGCCACUGCACCCGGCUAGGUUCAGCUUUUUUCAACAGAUCCUUUUAUCUUAAAGUGCUGAAUUUGAAUUGUAAGUUUGUUAUAAAAAUCAAAUGAGACCAUACAUGUAAAGAACUUAGUAUUAUCUUUGGCAUAGUAAAAACCCAAUAAAUAUAGGAAGGAGGGAGGGAUAGGGGACAGAAGGAAACAAAGGUGCCAAAUUGAAAGAACCCUGAAGUCCUUAGGGUAAUAUUCUAAGAACCUUCAGACCCUAUCUGGUCAUACUGUUCUAAAUGCCCUUAGCACCCUAUACUUUCCCUUUAUAACCUUUCAUCAUGGUUGUGUUGUAAUGUUAUGUUUGUAUCUUAUUUUGAUUAAUACCUGCCUUCCUGAUUGACCUGGGUUGUUCACAGUUCCAUCUCAUCACCCAUUCUAGUAUAUCACAUUUGGCAAAUAUUUUAAAUGGUCACAUACAAUUAUCCAAAUUGGACUGAUCACUUUGAUUCUUGGGGGGGGGGCGGUCAGGAAUGUGGCAACAUUGGCAAAAUCAGGGAAAGAAGACAUUAACCCUCCUUAAUCUACUGCAUUACCCACAUUCAACAUACAGAGAAUUUUGGCUCAGUGAAAUAUUUCUUUUUGGUUGUGAAACCCUUUACCAGACCACUAGUUCUUAUAUUUUUAUUGGACCAUUUUGUGAAAUAAUUGAAUAAUGUGUUUCUGGCUUAAUAUCUGGAAAGCCUUGCAGAGAAGCUCUUUGUGCUUGAAAUCUUCCUUGCUCCUGUGUCUGUCAGGCACCUGUUUAACUGAGGUAGUCUUCCCUCCCUCAGACUCUUGCAGAAAUAUGUUGCAGGUUGAAGGAAGGCCGGGAAGCUGAUGAGGGCAAGGUCCUGGCCUUUGGAGACUUCACUCCCUAGCAAAAAACAAAAGCA
rnacentral:lncRNA from 1 species